GAUGACAGUGGUGACAACGACUGGGCCGACAAGCACCGCCCUGCCCACUGCCGCGUCGGUGGUGGUGCAGGCGGUGCGUGGUGGCGCCGGUGGUUGUGCUGUUUUCAGAUUUGUGGUUUUUGAACCACUUGUAAAAAAAAAAAAAAGAAGAAGAAAUUGUUAUUGUUAUUUUAAUAAUUUACAGCAAUAAUUUAUUAAGUAAAUUAGUAGUUUUCAUGAAGUUUUAAGUACUAGUUUAUAGUGAGUUUUGCCUACUAGUAAAGGUUUUCAAGUUAUGACUUUAAAAUAGUUUUAAAGCUUUUUUUUUUAAGGAAAAAUCAGCUUUAUUAUUUAUUUAAGAAUGCUGAUUUUUAUUUAUUAGUAGCUUUGAAUUGUUGUUGGAAGUACUAAUUGAUAGUACUUUAUUGUUGGUAGGUUUCAAGAAUAAUUAAAGCCAGUCAAACUUUUGAUUGUUGAUUUUUGUGUAAUCAAGAGUUUAGAGAAGAAGUUGCAGGUACAAGUUCUUGAUGUGCAUGGAAAUCAUAAGCAUCCGGAUGGGAGUUUUUAGUACACGAGUACUUUCUUAUUUAAGUUAUCUUGAAUUUUAUAUUUGACUUUACUUGACCAAUGGGGUCAAGGUUUGACUUUUGAAUAUGGGACUAGUAUGGGAUAGUCUCGGAGUUUGUAAUUCAUUUACAUACUUUCUUAUUUCCGUUGUAUUAAAGUAUUUUCAGUUUAUUUUAAAAGACUUCCGCUGUAUUAUCUGAUUA